rnacentral:rRNA from 1 species
CUGGCGGCAUGCCUUCACAUGCAAGUCGAACGGCAGCACGGGAGCAAUCCUGGUGGCGAGUGGCGAACGGGUGAGUAAUACAUCGGAACGUGUCCUGGAGUGGGGGAUAGCCCGGCGAAAGCCGGAUUAAUACCGCAUACGCUCUGUGGAGGAAAGGGGGGGGAUCUUCGGACCUCUCGCUCAAGGGGCGGCCGAUGGCAGAUUAGCUAGUUGGUGGGGUAAAGGCCUACCAAGGCGACGAUCUGUAGCUGGUCUGAGAGGACGACCAGCCACACUGGGACUGAGACACGGCCCAGACUCCUACGGGAGGCAGCAGUGGGGAAUUUUGGACAAUGGGCGCAAGCCUGAUCCAGCAAUGCCGCGUGUGUGAAGAAGGCCUUCGGGUUGUAAAGCACUUUUGUCCGGAAAGAAAACCUCGUGGUUAAUACCCGUGGGGGAUGACUUUACCGGAAGAAUAAUCACCGGCUAACUACGUGCCAGCAGCCGCUGUAAUACG